rnacentral:lncRNA from 1 species
CCGACCCUCUCUGUUCAUCUGACCCCUUUUCUAUCUCGCCCGACCCUCUCUGUUUGUCCGACCCCUUUUCCGUCUCGCCCGGCCCUCUCUGUUCGUCCGACCCCUUUUUCCAUCUUGCCCGACCCUCUCUGUUUGUCCGACCCCUUUUCCGUCUCGCCCGGCCCGCUCUAUUUCGCCGACCCUUUUCCGCGUCGCCCGAGGACUCGGCUGUAUCUUUUUCCUUGACCCGAGGGUAUAUGUGUAAAAAUCGGGGACUUCUCUGCGUUAAGUCUGAGGACCCCCAUCACAGCUAUUCCUUUAGUCUAAGGGUCAGAUCAUAAGUUUCUUCCCAUCCGACCCUUUUACCUUGCUCUCCACCAACUCAAGUGAACUUCCC